GAAUGGGUCAUGUUUGCAUUGGAUUGAGACAACGUACAAACCUUAUCGAUAAACAAUUUGGAGGGCAAGUCUGGUGCCAGCAGCCGCGGUAAUUCCAGCUCCAAUAGCGUAUAUUAACGUUGUUGCAGUUAAAAAGCUCGUAGUUGAAAUGAAGGGUAGUUGUGUAAUGAAUACAUUCGUGUAUUUUGUUAUUCUACUACCCUCCUUCUAAAUUCGAUAUAUGAGUAUUAAUUUACUUGUAUAUGGUUUUAGACGUUUACUGUGAGAAAAUUAGAGUGUUCAAAGCAGGCAUUUGCUUGAAUAUAUUAGCAUGGAAUAAUCAUGUAUGAUUUUCAUGAUGUAUUUGAUUGGUUUGGUUCAUGAGAAUAAGAUUAAAAGGGACAGUUGGGGGUAUUCAUAUUCAAUAGUCAGAGGUGAAAUUCUCGGAUUUAUGGAAGAUGAACAAGUGCGAAAGCAUUUACCAAGGAUGUUUUCAUUAAUCAAGAACGAAAGUUAGGGGAUCGAAGAGGAUUAGAUACCCGUUUUUAUUUUCUUUAAAAAAA
rnacentral:rRNA from 1 species